CAAGUCGAGCGUAUCUUUGGGAGCUUGCUCCCAAAGAUUAGCGGCGGACGGGUGAGUAACACGUGGGCAACCUGCCUGUAAGACUGGGAUAACUCCGGGAAACCGGGGCUAAUACCGGAUAAUUCAUUUUCUCACAUGAGGGAAUGUUAAAAGAUGGUUUCGGCUGUCACUUACAGAUGGGCCCGCGGCGCAUUAGCUAGUUGGUGAGGUAACGGCUCACCAAGGCCACGAUGCGUAGCCGACCUGAGAGGGUGAUCGGCCACACUGGGACUGAGACACGGCCCAGACUCCUACGGGAGGCAGCAGUAGGGAAUCUUCCGCAAUGGACGAAAGUCUGACGGAGCAACGCCGCGUGAGCGAAGAAGGCCUUCGGGUCGUAAAGCUCUGUUGUUAGGGAAGAACAAGUACCGGAGUAACUGCCGGUACCUUGACGGUACCUAACCAGAAAGCCACGGCUAACUACGUGCCAGCAGCCGCGGUAAUACGUAGGUGGCAAGCGUUGUCCGGAAUUAUUGGGCGUAAAGCGCGCGCAGGUGGUUCCUUAAGUCUGAUGUGAAAGCCCACGGCUCAACCGUGGAGGGUCAUUGGAAACUGGGGAACUUGAGUGCAGAAGAGGAAAGUGGAAUUCCACGUGUAGCGGUGCUGUCUAGAGAUGUGGAGGAACACCAGUGGCGAAGGCGACUUUCUGGUCUGUAACUGACACUGAGGCGCGAAGCGUGGGGAGCGAACAGGAUUAGAUACCCUGGUACGCCGGUAACGAUGGUGUGGUGUUAGGAGGGUUUCCGCCCCUUUAGUGCUGCAGCAAGGCAUUAACCACUCCGCCUUGGGGGAGUACGGCCGCAAGGGUGAAACUCAAAGGAAUUGACGGGGGGCCCGCACAAGCGGGUGGAGCAUGUGGUUUAAUUCGAAGCAAACGCGAAGACCCUUACCAGGUCUUGACAUCUUUUGACACCUCUGGAGACAAGAGCUUUCCCCUUCGGGGGACAGAGUGACAGGUGGUGCAUGGUUGUCGUCAGCUAGUAUCGUGAGAUGUUGGGUUAAGUCCCGCAACGAGCGCAACCCUUGUCCUUAGUUGCCAGCAUUCAGUUGGGCACUCUAAGGAGACUGCCGGUGACAAACCGGAGGAAGGUGGGGAUGACGUCAAUCCUCAAGCCCCUUAUGACCUGGGCUACACACGUGCUACAAUGGAUAGAACAAAGGGCAGCGAAGCCGCGAGGUGUAGCAAAUCCCAUAAAUCUAUUCUCAGUUCGGAUUGCAGGCUGCAACUCGCCUGCAUGAAGCCGGAAUCGCUAGUAAUCGCGGAUCAGCAUGCCGCGGUGAAUACGUUCCCGGGCCUUGUACACACCGCCCGUCACACCACGAGAGUUUGUAACACCCGAAGUCGGUGGGGUAACCUUUUAGGGGCCAGCCGCCUAAGGUGGGACAGAUGAUUGGGGUGAAGUCGUAACAAGGUAGCCGUAUCGGAAGGUGCGGCUG
rnacentral:rRNA from 1 species